rnacentral:rRNA from 1 species
AUUGAACGCUGGCGGCAUGCUUUACACAUGCAAGCCGAACGGUAACAGGCCGCAAGGUGCUGACGAGUGGCGAACGGGUGAGUAAUGCAUCGGAACGUGCCCAGUCGUGGGGGAUAACGCAGCGAAAGCUGCGCUAAUACCGCAUACGAUCUAUGGAUGAAAGCGGGGGACCGUAAGGCCUCGCGCGAUUGGAGCGGCCGAUGUCAGAUUAGGUAGUUGGUGAGGUAAAGGCUCACCAAGCCGACGAUCUGUAGCUGGUCUGAGAGGACGACCAGCCACACUGGGACUGAGACACGGCCCAGACUCCUACGGGAGGCAGCAGUGGGGAAUUUUGGACAAUGGGGGCAACCCUGAUCCAGCAAUGCCGCGUGCAGGAAGAAGGCCUUCGGGUUGUAAACUGCUUUUGUACGGAACGAAACGGCUCUGGUUAAUACCUGGGGCUAAUGACGGUACCGUAAGAAUAAGCACCGGCUAACUACGUGCCAGCCGCCGCGGUAAGAC